rnacentral:rRNA from 1 species
CCUACGGGUGGCAGCAGUGAGGAAUAUUGGUCAAUGGACGAGAGUCUGAACCAGCCAAGUAGCGUGAAGGAUGACUGCCCUAUGGGUUGUAAACUUCUUUUAUAUGGGAAUAAAAUGUUCCACGUGUGGGAUUUUGUAUGUACCAUAUGAAUAAGGAUCGGCUAACUCCGUGCCAGCAGCCGCGGUAAUACGGAGGAUCCGAGCGUUAUCCGGAUUUAUUGGGUUUAAAGGGAGCGUAGGUGGAUUGUUAAGUCAGUUGUGAAAGUUUGCGGCUCAACCGUAAAAUUGCAGUUGAAACUGGCAGUCUUGAGUACAGUAGAGGUGGGCGGAAUGCGUGGUGUAGCGGUGAAAUGCUUAGAUAUCACGAAGAACUCCGAUUGCGAAGGCAGUUCACUGGACUGCAACUGACACUGAGGCUCGAAAGUGUGGGUAUCAAACAGGAUGAGAUACCCGGGUAGUC